rnacentral:lncRNA from 1 species
UUUUAUGAUCCUACGAUGCAUUUGCGUUGUUAGGUAAUUAUAUAAAAGAAUUGCGGUAAUAAUUUGAUUAGUAUUGUUUUUGCGCCAAUUAACAGAAUUAAUUGAAAAUCCAAGUAAGAAAUCAGAUAAUUAGUCCACAAAAGUUUGUUUAAAAAAUAGCUAAAUUACAGAAAACCCCUUAUAUAUAUUCGUUUUUUUACUUUUUCUCCCUAACUUUCAAAAAAAUAAUAUUUUACCCUCUCAAAAUUUCAAAAAAAUAAAUUUAGACAUUUAAUGAUGAACAAUUUA